ensembl:lncRNA
CGAACAUUGUUUGAGACUGUGGGCUUUCCGUCCCAGAUGACCAUCCCCUCUGCCAUUCCAUUCCUACGUUGACACAUUCAGAGCUAGCCGAGCUAGCUAGGCAGCAACAGUUCAACUAGGCAGAGGUAAAACAGGGUGUGUUUCACACAAAUGGCUCAACAUUUACAAUGAAGAAAAUUAAAUCACCUAUAUCUUGACGACCACUGCGUGCUCAAUGACGGUCUGCCGCGGUCUCAGCGAUUGACAUGGACUCUUGUGAUAAGGUAAAGACGGAUUUUUCUCUGCGAAGUAAUGACGGAACCGAUUACGUCUGGUAACGGCACAACUAGCUUUAGUUAGCUAAUGGGAAUAUGAAGCUAGCUAGCUAGGCCCAAAACGUAUCUGCAGGUAACAAUGUCCCUUUAAUGUUUUAGAAGUGUCGGUGAGUUUAUCCGAUGUUUGAUUAUUGUCAAUGAUUUGUCAUCUAACUAGAUCGUUACGCGUAAAGACAAGUGAACUAGCUAACUAGCCAGUUAGCUAAGCAGCUUUUAUACGCUUGUCAUUUUGGAUGGCCAAUAUCUCAUCUGUUCUCCCUGAUAUGCUGAUCUAUGUACUAGAUAUGUUUUAAUUGAGGCUAACUAUAUUGAGAAUCUAACUACACUAGUUACAGUACCUAUACUGUCACAAUGUGUUGACAUUAAUGACAGUUCAUGUCAACAUAUCGGUUGAUAUGAACUGACUUGGCUAUCUGGUGAACUUUGAUGUUUGACACACCGUUAAAUAACUAGCUAGAUAGUUAUUAUAAUACGGACCAGGGUAAGUUAACUAGCUAGGUAGUGACCAGUUACCCGAAACUUCCAGUCUGCAGUGAGUGUGUGGUAGAUUGUUGACAACUAACUAGCCAGCUGAUUCGCUCUGGAGGAAUGUCCGGUUCUUUUGCAUUUGAAUCACAUUCCAUUGAGUGACUUCUGCUGCGCAUAGAGUAACUUAACUAUGAUGCAAGUUAGCUACUCUAUUAUGUGGUCUGACUUACUGUAAGUGCCCAUUUAAAAUGUCAUAUUUUUCACUAGGCUUAAUUCCAUGACAGUAUAUGGCACCAUAGUUUAGGCCACAGAAGGCUGCCAUCUAGUAUACUGCAGGGUAAUUCUUUUCAGCUGGCUAUUUCUUGAACUGAGUUGUUGGUUAAGGGCUUGACAGUAAGCAUUUCACAGUAAGGUCGACACCUGUUGUAAUCGGCGCGUGUGACAAAUAAAAUGUGAUUUGAUUUGGAUGAAGUCCUCCUGUGUCACCAUCAGAUGCCACAGGCUGAGUUUUGGUCCACAGUGAUGUGAUGAUGGUGCAUGGGAGAUUCAAGCACCCAAGAUGGUUUCAUGCUUGUGACUUUAAUAUAUUUUUCAAAAUGUAGUGUACAUGCACACACUCGAGCUCAUCCACCCACCACUCUGUAUUGCCCCCUCUCUUGCCCCCUCCCAUUCAACAACAGUGAAAGAACAAUACAACUUCUCUCUUUCCAG